UCCAAUUAUCGCGAGAGAGGCUUUCGGCACUCAUUGGCUGUGAGGGUUGAAUGUAAGAUGGCGCCCAGGGAGCUGUGAGGGGAAAAUCCUGUCGGUCUCGGAGCGGCGACGGCAGAACCGGGGCCCCGAGCGGUGCGGCGGGGCCGGCGGGUAGAACGGCGGCGGCGGCGGCGGCGGCGGCGACGUCGCCCGGAAUCUUAAGGACUCUGCAAUAUGAAUAAUUCCCUGGAGAACACCAUCUCCUUUGAAGAGUACAUCCGAGUGAAGGCGCGGUCUGUCCCGCAACACAGGAUGAAGGAAUUUCUGGACUCACUAGCCUCUAAGGGGCCAGAAGCCCUUCAGGAGUUCCAGCAGACAGCUACUACUACCAUGGUGUACCAACAGGGUGGGAACUGCAUUUACACAGACAGCACCGAAGUGGCCGGGUCUUUGCUAGAACUUGCCUGUCCAGUCACCACCAGUGUUCAGCCACAAACCCAGCAAGAACAGCAGAUCCAGGUUCAGCAGCCACAGCAGGUUCAGGUACAGGUGCAGGUACAACAGUCUCCGCAGCAGGUCUCGGCUCAGCAGCUCUCCCCACAACUCACCGUUCACCAGCCUGCAGAGCAGCCCAUCCAUGUCCAGGUGCAGAUCCAAGGCCAAGCAGCACAGCCGGCAGCCCCCUCCAUCCAGACCCCAUCUCUGCAGAGCCCUAGCCCUUCACAGCUUCAGGCGGCCCAGAUCCAGGUGCAGCACAUGCAGGCGGCCCAGCAGAUCCAGGCUGCAGAGAUCCCAGAGGAGCACAUCCCACAUCAGCAGAUCCAGGCUCAGCUGGUGGCUGGCCAGUCACUUGCUGGGGGUCAGCAGAUCCAAAUCCAGACUGUGGGUGCCCUUUCCCCACCACCGUCCCAGCAGGGCUCACCCCGGGAAGGGGAACGGCGAGUUGGCACGGCCAGUGUCCUCCAGCCAGUGAAGAAGCGCAAAGUGGACAUGCCCAUCACUGUGUCCUAUGCCAUCUCAGGGCAGCCAGUGGCUACCGUGCUGGCCAUUCCACAGGGCCAGCAGCAGAGUUACGUGUCUUUGAGGCCAGACUUACUGACAGUAGACAGUGCCCACCUAUACAGUGCCACUGGGACCAUUACUAGCCCUACGGGAGAAACUUGGACCAUCCCUGUUUACUCUGCCCAGCCCCGGGGGGACCCUCAACAGCAGAGCAUUACCCAUAUUGCCAUUCCCCAGGAAGCCUACAAUGCAGUUCAUGUCAGUGGCUCACCCACAGCCCUGACAGCUGUAAAGCUGGAGGAUGACAAGGAGAAGAUGGUGGGCACCACAUCUGUCGUGAAAAACUCCCAUGAAGAGGUAGUGCAGACCCUUGCAAACUCUCUCUUUCCAGCACAGUUCAUGAAUGGCAACAUCCACAUUCCAGUGGCUGUGCAAGCCGUGGCAGGCACAUACCAGAAUACAGCUCAGACUGUCCAUAUAUGGGACCCCCAGCAGCAGCCACAACAACAAACUCCCCAGGAACAGACACCACCGCCACCGCAGCAGCAGCAGCAGCAGCAGCAGCAGCUCCAGGUUACUUGUUCAGCUCAAACUGUCCAAGUAGCUGAAGUUGAACCACAGUCACAGCCACAGCCUUCCCCAGAACUUCUACUUCCAAAUUCUCUGAAACCAGAAGAAGGGCUUGAAGUAUGGAAAAACUGGGCACAGACCAAGAACGCUGAGCUAGAGAAGGAUGCUCAGAACAGACUGGCACCCAUUGGCAGGCGUCAACUGCUGCGAUUCCAGGAAGAUCUCAUCUCUUCUGCUGUGGCCGAGUUGAAUUAUGGGCUGUGUCUAAUGACACGGGAAGCUCGAAAUGGAGAAGGUGAACCCUAUGACCCAGAUGUGCUGUACUAUAUUUUCCUGUGUAUUCAAAAGUAUCUUUUCGAAAAUGGACGGGUUGAUGACAUUUUCUCUGAUCUUUAUUAUGUUCGAUUCACGGAGUGGCUGCAUGAAGUUCUGAAGGAUGUUCAGCCCCGAGUCACUCCACUUGGAAGUGCCACCCUCACUGCCUGCCUGGAGAAUCCUGAAACUCCUGUGGGAGGAUGCUGGUUGCUGCUGGUUUCACCAUGUCCUCGGUGCCUGGCACACAUAUACUUGGAUAUUGAUUGUUGAAUAACACAUGAAGGGGGCCUGGUGAUCACCCCAAGUGUCAUCUUCCUUUAGUGUAGUUCUGCUUGCCCAAGGCUCUUGAUCAAACCACUGCCCUUUGCCCCUUUCCACUUUUUAGUUAGCUUAUAAACACAAUAAAACUUGCUCUAUGGGAAAAACCUAUAAUAGAUCUUAAUACCAUUCUCCUCUUUAUCCAGAGGGGGCGAGGAUGGACUUGCUUUCUAGAGAUAGAAGACAUGAGAGAAGGUUUAACAAGGGCAAACAGGGGCAUGUAUACCAGUCUUUUGGGCAUGGACACCUUUGAAAAUAUGAUGGAAGCUCUUUACUCUCUUUUCAGGGAAGCAUGCAUGUGUACAGAAGUUUAUUUAUAGUUUUGAGCAUUUCAGUCUCUCUGAGGGCAGUCUUUUCACCCCAUAUUAUCCUGAGAUUAGAGGAAGAAUUAAUGUCAGGUAAGAGCAAUCAUAUAUGGCAGUGGUUCUCAAAGUAUACUCUUAAGAACUUGUUAGAAACACACAUUAUCAGGUCCUACCUCAGAAACUUGGGUUGGGACGCAUUGUUUAUGUUUUAACAAGCUUCUCAGAUGCUUCUGCCAUAUCCCAGGAAGACUUCUUCAGUUAAACUUGUUCUCCUGCGUGGUCCUUGUGCCUCACACCUCCAUCCUGCACCUUUGAGGGACUGCCUGCCAUCCUCUUGUUGUAGCAGUGCUCUAUUCCUCCUAGGCUAUGUCCUGCCCAGCCACGUGACUGAGGAGAUGCUGUGGGAGUGCAAGCAGCUUGGGGCUCACUCCCCUUCCACCUUGCUGACCACCCUCAUGUUCUUUAACACCAAAUACUUCCUCUUGAAGACAGUGGACCAGCACAUGAAGCUGGCCUUCUCCAAGGUCUUACGACAGACAAAGAAGAACCCCUCUAAUCCUAAGGAUAAAAGCACGAGUAUUCGGUACCUGAAGGCACUUGGGAUACACCAGACUGGCCAGAAAGUUACAGAUGACAUGUAUGCAGAACAAACGGAAAAUCCAGAGAAUCCCCUGAGAUGUCCUAUCAAGCUCUACGAUUUCUACCUCUUUAAAUGCCCUCAGAGUGUGAAAGGCCGGAAUGACACCUUUUACCUGACGCCAGAGCCGGUGGUGGCUCCCAACAGCCCAAUCUGGUACUCGGUCCAGCCUAUCAGCAGAGAGCAGAUGGGACAGAUGCUGACUCGAAUCCUGGUGAUACGAGAAAUUCAGGAGGCCAUAGCAGUGGCUAAUGCAAGCACCAUGCACUGAGAUCCCUCAGCCGUGGUUCAAGGGAGACGAUCCAGGAAAAAACGGACAGACUUUCACACUAAAGAAGAGGCCUCCAUUUUUUUCUUUUCUUUUUUAUUGGUGUAGUUAUGAAGCCUUUCAGACUGCUUCUGUUUAAAAUGUAAAAGGAAACUUUGCCCCCGUGCAUCUUCAUAAACCUGCUGUGGCAGACUCCUCAGCCCAUGGGGGCUCUGGGUUUCCUGAGAGCCAGAUGUUCUAGAAAGUUGCUGGCUGACUUUUUUUGUUUGGGGCCUGAGGAAAGGGCUUGGACUGUUAAGAGAAAUGUGGCCCCUUAUCCUUCCUCCAGAAAGAUGGAAUUAAUGAUGGAUGGACCCUACAGAGAGAUCUCUCCAGCUGGCUUCCAUUAUGACUGGCAGACAUUGCUGACCACAGGGGAGCGAGCCAUGGCCUUUUCUUUCUUCAUGCUCAGACAUAAACCUAGCAUCUUAAUGGAAGGAAAAUGAGGGGAACUUCAAUUAUGAUUUAUUAAAGACAAUUUCUAUUACACCCUUCUUUAUGACAAAUGACAUUUUAGAUGUUAAAGUAAAAACUUUACCUUUUUUUUUUUUUUGGUUUUUUUUUUUUGGUUUUUUUUUUUUGGCCUAACAUUGAGGCCUUAAACCUGAGGCUCCUGUGCCUGAUGGAAUUCUUGUAACAUACACUUGUGUAUCAUAUAAAGAUACCACUCUGUUUCUCUUAUGUAUUCUUAAUCUAGUUGUUUAUUAAGAAUGACAAGCACGUCUUUUCAACA